GACGAACGCUGGCGGCGCGCCUAACACAUGCAAGUCGAACGAGCGAGAGAGAGCUUGCUUUCUCGAGCGAGUGGCGAACGGGUGAGUAACGCGUGAGGAACCUGCCUCAAAGAGGGGGACAACAGUUGGAAACGACUGCUAAUACCGCAUAAGCCCACGGGUCGGCAUCGACCAGAGGGAAAAGGAGCAAUCCGCUUUGAGAUGGCCUCGCGUCCGAUUAGCUAGUUGGUGAGGUAAUGGCCCACCAAGGCGACGAUCGGUAGCCGGACUGAGAGGUUGAACGGCCACAUUGGGACUGAGACACGGCCCAGACUCCUACGGGAGGCAGCAGUGGGGAAUAUUGCACAAUGGGGGAAACCCUGAUGCAGCGACGCCGCGUGGAGGAAGAAGGUCUUCGGAUUGUAAACUCCUGUUGUUGAGGAAGAUAAUGACGGUACUCAACAAGGAAGUGACGGCUAACUACGUGCCAGCAGCCGCGGUAAAACGUAGGUCACAAGCGUUGUCCGGAAUUACUGGGUGUAAAGGGAGCGCAGGCGGGAAGACAAGUUGGAAGUGAAAUCUAUGGGCUCAACCCAUAAACUGCUUUCAAAACUGUUUUUCUUGAGUAGUGCAGAGGUAGGCGGAAUUCCCGGUGUAGCGGUGGAUGCGUAGAUAUCGGGAGGACACCAGUGGCGAAGGCGGCCUACUGGGCACC
rnacentral:rRNA from 1 species